CUUUGACCGCGAAGCAGACAGACAAACAAACAAAAUGGCAGAGGAGAGGAAUUCAUUUAUCCGGUGGAGAUACGCACACUAUUUUAACUAUGUCACCCAAAAAGACAAAAACGUGGUCGUGGAGUGUAAGCUUUGCGUGGGCAGCAAACGUUUGUCAACGGCAGCCAGCUCAUCCUCCAACCUUUUGAAACAUUUGCAGCGUCAACACUCAACUGUUAAGCUUGUCGCUGAAGAGCAACACAGCGAGGCUGCCGCCUCCGACACACCGACACGAUACAAGCAACCUCGUCUUGAAUUACGCUGUCAGGUUUCCCAGAGACUAUGGGUUGAGGAGGAAGUAGAAGUUUGUCAGCUUAGACCUAGUGUCAUUCCAUCAGUGUUAAACUUCCCGGCUAAUCUUGGAAGAGUACGUGCCAGAAAGACCACGACCAAGCAGCCUUGAGAUCUUAGGCAGCGUCUCCCUGAGACCAAAGAACUACAGACUCUUCACAACCUGCUCAAACUCUUGGUACAGGACCUCACCACAUGGGUCAAGAAGGUUUCCGUCUCAUUUCUACUCUGAAGCUCACCUUCUCCUGCUCAAACUGCUGAUAAAUGUUUCUGCUGCUCUGAAGUCUGGUCUCCAGAACUUCCUAAAAACUCUCAAAGUCUCUUCUGCUGCAGGUUGCUUUGUAGAACUGUUGCAGAAAACCUCACUAAACCACAUGGAGGGGCCUCAAGAUAGUCAUCCAAAUGAAACCGUACAAAAACCAAACUAGCACAACCCAAACGCUAAAGUCUCCUGCAGCCUACCAGAGAACCUCUGAGAACAGAGAAUCAGGACAGGAACUCUUACCUUCUGGACAACCAACGCUGGUUCACAAACAAGAAUACAGAAUGUGUCUGACCAAAAACCUCUGAAGACUCACUACAGCCAAG
ensembl:lncRNA